GGGGGGGGGUUGCACAGAUGGGAGAUCACCACAGGUCAGUUGGAUUCUGAGGGCCACAAAGGUCAUGUUGGUUAUCAUCCCCCUGCAGGACUGCACGCAGAGGGCCCAAGUUAACGUCACACAAUCCAGAAAAUUAAGGCUGCGAAGAAAAGGGACUUUUCCAGCAAACAAAAAAGAACUGGCACUUAAAUACCCACCAAACAGGUUUUAGCUUCUCUUCAAAAUAAGUCACGAGUGUGUGUGUGUGUGAUAAAACUAUAUGUAAACAUUUUUUUAAGUUGGUCCUCCAUGAAAAAACACUAAACGCUUACUGUAUCAGUAACAGCAUGAACUUUUCAUGUUUACGCACACCACAAACAAAUGCAGUUUGGUAAGGUUAGACAGCUCACAUAUAAAAUGCCUGCGUGGCUCAACUAGUACACUAGACAACUAGACACUCACUUUAAACCCGUGGGUUGAACAAAAAAUUCCUAAAUUUCUAGUCAUCACUAGAGCAAUGACACCUCGUUUGAGCCUAGCCAACCUGAAUCAGAGUUGAACUGGUUCACACUGCAGCAGAGAAAGAACUUGCUCUAUCUCUCUGCCUGAAAUGUCAGACUCACAAGACCUGUUUGCCACUGUGGUCUAAACUCUGGGAGAUGCUCAGUGCUCGCCUGCCUGGGGAAGUAGUUAUUGGUAACACAAACCUGUCUACUUUUCACUUCACUUUCAGAAGCAGGCUGCCCUUGCCCAAGCCUGCAGUGGGGCAGAAAAAAAAAUAAGGGGAAAGAAAAAAAAAGACAAGGAUGAAGAGAGAAAAAGGUAUGGAAGGCAGAAAGAAAGAGAGAGAGAGAGAAAGAGAGAGAGUGAGCAGGGUGAAGGGACACGGAGAAAUUUCUUUUUUAUGGGAAUGUUUCACUUAAUCUCAUAAAGGCAGCGUAAAAACCUCCAUCUGUUUGCUAAGCAGUUCAAAAGAGACUCCACAUGCCUCCGCUUGCUGCUAUAUAAAAACAACAUUCUAAUGCAGAUCUUAAAGAGGGCCAGCGGCUGAGCGUGCACAAUGAGAGCUGGGAUGUGCCAGACACGCCGAUGGAGGAUGGGAUGGUGGAAAGAGAAUUAGGUAGGUAAACAGGAGGGAAUGUGAGCAGCACAGAGGGACCGCAAAAGAGAAAAAAAAAGGUUUGAAAGAGCAAAAUCAAAAGCAACAAAUUUUUCUGCCAGCAGUCCUGCUUCUGACGUGGUGGACGUGACCUUGAAGAAGGCGCAGUCAGGGUCAGCGAGGGUCGCCCUCUGGGCCUCGCCUGCCACUCCCCUCAAUCAACCCAUUCACCUCCUCUGCUCCCUUCUCUUCUCCCUCUUCAUGUUUCACCCUGAGACUUACCAUUCGCCUUUGUCAUUAAUAGAGGAAUGUCCUGGCAAGAAUGACAUCUUGUGGUUUAUUGGGGCUCCUGAGCAGGGAUUCAAGGACAGCACCUUUAUAUUCGGGGUCUUUGAAGAUAAAAGUGGGCUUUCCCCUUUACAAUAAAACCUUCUGCACCAGACACAAGAAUCAUCAAUCUCCAAAUAAAUAUAAACCAAAAUAUACGAUAAUAAACGACUUCUUUGAUCCAUUCGAACAAGAUGGACCAAAAUGCAGCGUCUCUGUAGUCAGGUUUUCCUGCACAUUGGUGCCUCUGCACACCUCCAGGUCUCCUCUCCCCAUAGCGGGGGCAAGACCAGGCCCAUCUGCAAAGCUAUUUUGACGAGCCACCCUUCUAAAAAACUCCAGGGUUCAAAACUGCCAGAAGAUCAAAGGACUAAUACUGCAGUAAUAAUAAGUUACUGCCCUAUGAACACCUCAUUCAUCAGGGAGAGGCAGUGAUAUAAUACAGUUGUAACUGCAGGGCCAUUAAGCACUCAUCAUAUGAUCCUAUUUGCCAUCCUCAUGUGGAAAAACAUCUUCAGUUCUGCGGGCUGAGUGAGGACGCAGGAUGAACUCUUGCCUGCAACGCCAAAAAUCUCAACUGAUAAGGAAGUCCACACCAUCUCCCACCUUCCCUUCUUAGCAGCCAACUGAAGGUGUCUCCCAAGUGGUUGGCAUUUUAAUAACAGAAAUUUGGCACAGUGCAGCAUCAUCUGGGCUCUGUCAUUCUGUGCAAGCAUGACACGGCGUCCUAUUUUGAGCACAGCAUUUUUGUCACAUCAUGCGUGCCAGCGACAGCCCGAUGAAACCCUGACCCUCACAUGCUCCCACUGAAGUGACAAGUGAGAGAUGUGCUGCCCUAAUAUGAACGCUUUGAGACGCAAAUGCUUUUCAUUCCUUAAAAUCGGGAAACCUGUGAAAGGGCGGCCCUUAGCGGCUGGAAACACAGUGAGAUGGACCAAGGCAAGUGUAGUGGAACAAAAAGUAUUUAUUUGCAGUACAGCUCUCCUUACAAACAAUUCCCUUGUCAAGCUUCUUCACAGCACAAUCAACCCUCUAAUGACAACCGGCAGCCUUAAGUAUGUUCAGCUGUCACAGAUUCCACUCUCAGAACCUUUAACUGGUGUCUGGACCCCCAGGGAAACAUUUGCCCAAACACCUUGAAGAGGACACAGGCAAGAAAGACAACCACCACAUUCCUUAAUGAGGAGCAGCUGUGCAGGGUCUGAAACAAGGCUACCAACUGAUUUUAAAAUUCCCAAUAAAUAUUCAAUAAAUAAUUAAACUUCUUUUGUGCAAAUGUUUUACUGUGCAAAUCCAUGCUUAAAGUGCAAUGCUAAAUAAAGUGCUUGAUAGGGUGCUUUUAAUAAAGUGAAAGGUGUGCUCUAAAGUGUUAUACAGAUAAUAUAAUAUAAAUAAAUGUAGUAAGGGAGUCCUCUUCCUUACAGUGUGUGAGUAGUAAAGUUUUGCACUCUCUAACUUUCUUCUUUUCCACUUGCCUGUUUUCACUCUACUUUUAUUCUCUGGCUCUCUUCCACAUUUGUCCUAUUUCCCUCCCCCCAUCCCCCCAACCAGUCCUAGCAGAUGGCUGCUCCUCCCGGAGCUUAGUUCUGUAUUAUUACUUUACCUUAUAAUAGUAAGUGCCUUAAGGUGACUAUUGUUGUGAUAAACAAAAUUGAAUUCAUGGCUUUAAACAUUUCAUUUAGUAUUGGGGUGGGGUGAUUAGGUGUCUUUUUUUGUUAAAAUAAAGCCAAUAUAAUACAGACAUGCGACUCCUUUAGGAGUACACACCGUCAUUUCAUCACGUUGUAGCUUAUAGUAAGUCUGCUUUGGAUCGUUAUGUCUCAUAACCCAAAAUCCUAUGGAUGUUGAAUGUUCUUCAAGAGCCAUUCCUGAAGACUACUCAAAGAAAUGACAAGAAAGAUUGUCUAAGACCGUUCAGGCUGUGUUGGGGAAUAAAAGUGGUCAUACCCAAUACUGACUUUCAAGCUCAUCUGUUCGUUCAUAUACUCUAUUUCCAUGAAGGCGUUGUUUCACAUGUUUUGCUGCAGCUACUUUCCAUUUUCCCAGUCAAAUAUAAAGACUAAUUAGCACUUCAGUGGCAACCAAAACAGUAUACAUUUUUGUGUCGUGGUACUCAACAUCCACUUUUAAAUGCACUGAAAUGAAAGCAUCUAGAAGAUGACAGGUGUGCUUAACCUUACAAACAGAACCUGUUGUGAAUUCUCAGACCCUUGCAUGUUUCCUUAAUGGCAGCCACUGUUCAACAGGAAGGCAGGCAACAAGACAGCAUGGACUCUUGGCCAGCCUUGCAUGCAAGGCUGCCAGCUGCCUCUACCAGUCUGCAUUUACUAGGCCCAAAUUAGAGGCCUACAGUUGAACUUGGCCUUUAACAAAGAAAAAGAAAGAAAAUAAAAACAAAAAUCCUUUAAUGACACUACUUCACAGAUGCCAUGACCUCUGCUCAUUUUUGCUAACGGCUGCUGGGAAAUGACGAGAAGAGCUGCAUUCAGAGUCUGAUUUUACAGUAAAAUUACAACACUCAUUUGUAUCUUAAGGCUUAUAUGAUCAUGUCUGGCUCUUGCCAUGACAUUAAACAUGUUGAUGCAUGGGAGUGUGCAAUCAUAGCUACUAAAGCAGAUAAUAAUCCCAAAGCUGAGCCAAGCAGGCUCAUAAGGAGUGGCUGCUUUUAGUUUCCUCUUUCUGAUGCUCUGAGGGCAACCACCUCAAUGGUCACAGUGUCUAUGUUUUGCAUAGUCGGCAAGACUAAGCAUUAUCUUCUAUUUUAGAUAUGCCCACACAACUUAUGAUCCGAUGGCUGUGAAUGCUCCCUGUGCCACCAUUGGUACCAUUUACCACUUCGAAACACUCCGCUACUGGACUAUAAACAGCAACCAAGACAGACUGAAACGUCUUCAUUUGGUUUUUGUAUGGCCCUGAGAAAAAGGGGCCUGGGAAACCAAAUCACUGAGUCUCUAUUUCACAGGCACUAGAAACCACAGGGCACGCAAACAGUUCCCCACAGACUGUUAACAAUGCUCACUCCUCCAUUCCUCCUCCUCCUCAUCUGUCUAGAUCUGUUGCAAAACUGACGAGGACAUGUCCCUCGGUUCCUUUGUAGCCACGAUUAAAGGCAUUCCUUUCCAGCCCAAUCAAAGACUACCUCCAAAAUAUUCCCAGGCAUGAAUUUAACAGCCUCAAAAACAAAUACAUGGAAAGAAAAUGUGGAAAAUAAAUAGUAGCUACAGUGAGAAGUCAAUAAUAUUGUUUCCCUUUCUUCUUUUUUCAUCUGCCAAUAAUCAGCAAGAGAGCGUUCUAGUUCAUCUGUUGCCAGCAGGGAACCGGGCCUACGCAGUUAUGUCAGUGUGCACUAAAAGGGGGAAACAGAAAAGGCUUGCACCUCUUAUCAAGCUACCAGUCAAUUAACAGCUGUGCAGGUCACAGGGCUUCUGAAAAACUGGUGGCCAAUCAAAAUACAUGCUGGUUUAGUAGGAGGUGAAACAAACACUCCAGCAAGUGCUUUUUCUGUUGUAUGACUUGAGACUAGGAGUGAGGAAGGUAAAAGGUUUAAUCAGUUGAACUCUGCCUCGGGGCCUGGAAAGCCUGCCAAGUUAGAGAAUAUCAAGGAAGAAUUCAAUCAACUCUGCCACAUGCAAACAUGCAGAUACACACACACCCAGUGGGUGAAUACAUUUUCAAUGCCACCUGAUAGGGUGAGAAAAAAGUCAGCAUGUGAUCCAUUUUUUUUCCAUUUUUUUUUUUAUUGUGACCACAGCUUUUUGUUUCUGAAGUUAACCAUGUUCUAAACUGCUGUUCAAAGUGAUACUCAAUACUUGUUUGCACGACAGGCCUAAUUAGACUUGCUUCUCUCGGCAGACGAAGGCAAAUGUUUGUUUAAGCAACAGGCAACAGGUGUUGUGGAUGCUACGUGACCCAUUAAGCUAAUUUCCAGCUCCAUAUUUUGAUUCCUGAACUAUACUGAAGUAGCUUUGCUUGAUUUACACUUGAAAAUAAUCCCUCCUAUACUGUGCAUAUACUGUUCAUCCAAGCUCUUUUAAGUACUUUCCCCUUCAGCGAAUUUCCUGCUCUGUUUGGCUCCGCUUUGCAAACAGAAGGUUAUUAUAUUAUACUAUAAUUAUUAUAUAACUAAUUAUAUUAAUGAUAUUCUACAAUAACAGGAAAAAAACAAUGAAAAUGAGCAUUCA